UUCAGGAGAAAUAGAAAAGCAAACUUUAAUACGAGCACUUUUCGCCAGUCACUGUGCCUACAUCUCUAGAGGAAAGAGCAGAGAUGAAGGAUCAUGCAGAAAGACCAACUUUGAAGAGGCCUAAAAAGAGUUCCUGGACUCAGUUGCUGCUCGAUCAGGUCCAAGUCUCAAAGAUCUGUGAUUUGCCCUCAAUAAAGUCAGCAGUUGCUGUUUGUAUGAUACAUUGAGAAGGCCUCCAUAGGUUUGCCUGCGCCUGCAAAGGAAUUUCAUUUGUGGGAAAAGUUGUUAGUAGAGUUGCUAAGCUCUUGAACUGGGACAGAAGUGCUACAUGUACAUGUGAAGUUGACUUCCAAUUAUUCUUCUAAUCUAAUAAGCCUACCUUGUGGCUCUGGAAAUAGUGAUAAAAUGGGUAGUUGUGGGCUGUGUAGGCAAUGGAGACAAAGGCUGUUCAUCUUUUCUCAUUGUUUUACCUCUAACCUCACGGUGCAGCUACUGGCUCCUCCCAGGUCAUGAAGAAGUGUUCUCAAGGGAUUAAAGAAAAGGUAUUUUACUUUACUAGGCCUUUUGUAAUCUAGCAUUGAUGCCCUCUCUGUGACAGAUAGCCCCAUAUUCAAAUUCUUUUUCAUAAAGGUCAUUACUGAGUUGUUCAGGUCUUCCACAGUGGGAAUAAUUAGCAUCACAGUACCCUGAUACAGGGGAUACACAUUGCAUUUCCCUUCUUAAGACUAACCUCUCAUCACCGAAAGUCUGCUCAUGAAUAAUAUCAUUAUAUUCUAUCUAUAAU
rnacentral:lncRNA from 1 species